AAAGCUAGGAGGAGUUAUGGCGCAGAAAUUGCUGAAAAGGGAACAUGGUGUCAGUCCAUGACUACCCCCGUAACUGUAAGGGAAGAGCCCACUCGUUAUAUCCACUGAAGUUUGACUUUGGGAAGGAAGAGAAAAGGGUGAUGAGGCCCGAGUCAGGAGACCUGCCAUAACGAGUCAUCAGCC
rnacentral:ncRNA from 2 species